CAGCCGCCGCGGUAAUACGUAGGGUGCAAGCGUUAAUCGGAAUUACUGGGCGUAAAGCGUGCGCAGGCGGUUUGUUAAGACAGAUGUGAAAUCACCGGGCUCAACCUGGGAACUGCAUUUGUGACUGGCAAGCUAGAGUGUGGCAGAGGGGGGUGGAAUUCCGCGUGUAGCAGUGAAAUGCGUAGAUAUGCGGAGGAACACCGAUGGCGAAGGCAGCCCCCUGGGCCAACACUGACGCUCAUGCACGAAAGCGUGGGGAGCAAACAGGAUUAGAUACCCGUGUAGUCCCUGUCUCUUAUAC
rnacentral:rRNA from 1 species